rnacentral:pre_miRNA from 7 species
UUCUCAGAUAAUUGGACAUUCUUCUUUAGUCACAGUGAAACUCAACUGCUAAUGAAAGAACCUAGUGGGGAAACUCCCACUCAACUCCCGAUUCUGCGUGCACCCAAGAAUUAUAAACAAACAG